UACGGAGGGUGCAAGCGUUAUCCGGAUUUACUGGGUUUAAAGGGUGUGUAGGCGGGCUUUUAAGUCUGGGGUGAAAUCUCCGAGCUCAGCUCGGAAACUGCCUUGGAUACUAUUAGUCUUGAAUUAUGUUGAGGUUGGCGGAAUAUAACAUGUAGCGGUGAAAUGCAUGGAUAUGUUAUAGAACACCGAUUGCGAAGGCAGCUAACUAAGCAUAUAUUGACGCUGAGGCACGAAAGCGUGGGGAUCAAACAGG
rnacentral:rRNA from 1 species